AUGUCGAGGCAGUUGUACCCUGAGUGUGGGCACAGCAGGGACAAAGGGGACAGGCAUCAUCAGUGCAUCGUGUGCCUCGGCAGAGAGCACGCCGAGGCAGCACUGAGUGUCGGAAUUCCCUCCUGCGACUUCUGUGCCGGAAUGACACUCGCAAAGGUGGCAAAACGCCUUGCGUACUGGGACCGCAGGGAUGCAGGAGAGCCGUCGCCUGUUCACACUGGGCAGACUCUCCCAGCUGAGCAGUGCUCACCGUCGGCAGCAGGCAGCGGGGAGUCCGGUAGCCACAUUACUGCCGCAGCCGCCCCCGCUGCCCCCUCCCCCACUUCUCCACCCUCCCUGGAGCUACCGCACUGCCAUUCCGAUCAGCCCGUUCCGGAUUUGGAUUCCGGGCUGCAGACGGAGAGCCUGCAGGUUUUCAGCACGAGGGACGUGUCAGAGGACGACGUGUCAGAGGACGACACUGAACUGUACAUGGCUGAUGAACUGCGGGCACCCUCUCCCCCGGUGUCAUCCAGGACCCUGGGCCAUCAGCUACAUGAAGUAGCAUUGAGGGCAGCUGACCGGCUAGGUCUCCCCCUCCCUGCCCCACCCAUCACAGAGACCUCGUUGCUGGAUGGGGAGUUUUACAGUGGCCCUCCUGUAUCAGCCCCCAGCCCUAUCCCUUUCUUCCCUGAGGUGCAUAGGGAACUGAUGAAGACAUGGGCCAGCCCCUACUCAGCUCGUGCCCCAGUCCCUGGGUUUGCAUCCUACCUUAACCUAGACCAGGCCAAGGAGAGUGGCUACCUCUCCUUUCCACAGGUGGAGGACGCUGUGGCAGGGUAUCUCUCACCCACAAUGCGCCUGGGCCAGAAACCACUCCUCCCUACCCGGGUGGCCAGACACCAGGCGGGCCUGGCGGAGAAGUCAUACCUGGCAGCUGGACAGGCCGCAUGUUCCAGUAACACUGCAGCACUGUUGCAGAGAUACCAGGCGAAGCUGCUGACCGAGCUGUCGUCCUCCCUGGGCAGUGAUAACGAGCUGGUGGUGGAGCUGCGCCGGGCAACGGACCUCUCGCUCCGUCUCACCCGCUGCACCUCCCAGGCUCUGGGACGGGUCAUGGGUGCGGCUGUGGCAACACAGCGCUCCCUGUGGCUUUCUGAGGCUCAGCUGUCGGACCGGGAGAAGGCCCCACUCCUGGAUGCUCCAGUCAGCACGACGGGGGUGUUUGGGGAUGUGGUCGGCACCAUGACUGCUAAGUUUGGCGAGCGCCGGGCUCCUUCCGGUCCAGCACCAACGGCGGGGAAGAAGCGAAGCGGUUUUCGCUCCCCAGCACCCCCAGCGAAGUUUCAGGCGCGCCGGGGUCGGAAGAGGCACCCCUUCCAACCUCCCACACAACCCCAGCCACAACAUGCAGUGGCCCACCCGCCACAGAGUGUGCCCUACGCCCCGCGCCAGCAUGAUGCCCGCCGCGGGCAGGGGCUGGACAGGUUCCAGCGAACACAUCCACCACAGCACCCAUACACCCACAUUUAUCCAAGCAGCGUGAUGGGGUACCCUCAUACUCGAUGA
ensembl:lncRNA